rnacentral:misc_RNA from 1 species
GAAAUGCGAUAAGUAAUGUGAAUUGCAGAAUUCAGUGAAUCAUCGAAUCUUUGAACGCACAUUGCGCCCGCCAGUAUUCUGGCGGGCAUGCCUGUUCGAGCGUCAUUUCAACCAUCAAGCCCCCGGGCUUGUGUUGGGGACCUGCGGCUGCCCGCAGGCCCUGAAAACCAGUGGCGGGCUCGCUGUCACACCGAGCGUAGUAGCAAUCACCUCGCUCAGGGCGUGCUGCGGGUUCCGGCCGUUAAACAGCCUUACAAAACCCAAGGUUGACCUCGGAUCAGGUAGGAAGACCCGCUGAACUUAAGC